UUGCGAGGUCCAUCCUUAUUUAAUUAAUGGGAAAGUAAACUCUCAACAGUCAACAAUGGUGGGAACAUCCACACACACAUUCUCCAAACAGAGAAAUUCGUAGAUCAUACAAAGGAGAAGAAAGGGUUGUUCGGUGAGGUUUCAUAGAAGGACGAUGGUAAAUUCCAUUCGGCAGCAACAGUUUCAGCAUAUGAACAUUUGCAGCACUUGACAGAAAACAACCGGGGACGAACAGCAACAAUGAUCAAAUUCAGAGUCACCAUUGGAGGAGCAGGCUUGUUCCUGAAUAUCCUGUUAUUUAUCUCCUUCCAAAUGUGAUAAACAAAGCUUUCAAGUCAAAAGACCACUCUGUGCGUGAGAGAUCAUCCAAGAGGCAAUGUGCUCCACUCUGUGUCGAGUCCACUCUCUUGAUGAUCUUCACUCUCCCAUGUGCACAGUGUACUCGACCGUCACUACAUAGAAGAGGUUUCAAAUUUUGGGUUAAGAGGGUUAAAGAGAAGGAAGAACAAGGUAAAGAAGGUUGAGCAAAUAGGGACCCUCACUUUAUUGCCAUCACAACCCCAGUCCAUGGGUUGAUGAUGGGAUGACUGCUCCAUGAAAUAUUGAAAUUACUGGUACAUUACCUCAAAAUCCUAUUCUAGGCAUAUAUAUUUUCUUUGGUUAAUGCAUUACAUACAAUGUCAUUGGGUAUUCUUGGAAUGAUGUCGAUGAGGGCAUUAGUUAGGUUUAAUCUGUACUUGGUGAAGAUAUAAGUCAAAUUCAUCUUUAUGUAAAUUAGUUGAUUUCUUCCUGUAUAUCGUGUUGAUUUUGCACAUAUAAUUCACUUUGGUAUCUUCCAUUUUUUUGUGACAUUCUAA